AAUCCAGGGUGUAGCAAGUUUUCUUUAUUAUUUUGUUUUUUUGUCCCUCUGAAUCUCUCUCACCAGUGCUGAGCCAUGUUUAUUGGAUACAAGCACAGUUGUUUUGGCUUUUUAUAUCAGACAGGACUGGCGCAGUGUGUUGACGUCUGUACGCUGUGCUUAAUGGUGUCAUGUGAAUUAACGGGUCAACCCAGGUUUUUCGGACAGAGGGAAAAGGGUAUAAAUAUACCAAUAAGAGUGGUAUCCACACAGAAGUAUUCCAGAAGUUAUGUUAUUAAAUAGAAGACACCUGCGAUGGACUGGCGACCUGUCCAGUGCGUACCCCGUCUCUCGCCC